GGCGAACGAAGGCGAUACAAACGGUGAACAAUGCGUAACAAAGCGAGCGAGCGAACGAGCGGGCGAACGAAUAACGCGCGACGCGACGCGACGCGCGCGCGAGAUCGCGCGCUCACAGACCGUCGCCCUCGGCCCAACACUGGUUCAAGAAUUCGACCAUCUCGCGAAGCGGAAUCGGCGCCUUGAACGCGCGAUCGACGCAAACUCUGUCGACGCCGAGAAACGAGUCGUACGACGCGUUUCUCGGAAUCUGACGCUUCGUCGCGCGAUCGCGAUCGACGUCGCCCUCCGCGCGCCGCCGCCGUCCCGGAUUGGUCCACAUCUCCCUCCGUUUCAACCACAACAACAACGCUCGAUUCGUCGCGACGCCGUUGAUUCGGUUGAACCGGUACGUCUUCGCGUCGAUCCCAAAAUCCGGUUCUCGCCCCGACCCCGACCCCGAAUCAUCGCUCGACCGCACCGUCGUCGCGCUUUCGCUCGCGCGUCGCCGAUGGUUCCCGUUCGCGCCCCCAUCCGCUCGCGCGUUCG
rnacentral:lncRNA from 1 species